rnacentral:rRNA from 1 species
GACAGAGGGUGCAAACGUUGUUCGGAAUUACUGGGCGUAAAGCGAGUGUAGGCGGUUCGGUAAGUCGGAUGUGAAAGCCCCGGGCUCAACCCGGGAAGUGCACUCGAUACUGCCGAGCUAGAGUAUCGGAGAGGUUGGUGGAAUUCUCGGUGUAGAGGUGAAAUUCGUAGAUAUCGAGAGGAACACCGGUGGCAAAGGCGGCCAACUGGACGAAUACUGACGCUGAGACUCGAAAGCGUGGGGAGCAAACAGG